GGGAAGUCCGGAAGGGUGUGUGUGUUGAAACUGAGCGCUGCAGCAGGCAGAUGAGUCUACCAAAUGAGAGGAGACAGAGCAGCACGCGGGCACGCCAUGACAUCUUUUUAGGGAAAACCUGUAGAAGCCUUAAGACCCAGAUCAGUGAGCACCUCAGCCAUAUACAAACAGGCAUAACACUUGGCCUCCUGAGUGGUACAGCGGUCUAAGGUGCUGCAUCUCAGUGCUAGAGGUAUCAUUACAGUCGCUGGUUCAAUUCCAGACUCUAUCACAAACAGCCGUGAUUGGGAGUCCCAUAGGGCAGUGCACAAUUGUCCCAGUGUUGUUAGGGGUAGGCUGUCAUUGUAAAUAAUAAUUUGUACAUAACUGACUUGCCUAGUUAAAUAAAAAAUGAAACACAC
ensembl:lncRNA